rnacentral:piRNA from 1 species
UAAGCAGAGGAGGAAGUAAGCUGGG